rnacentral:rRNA from 8 species
AAAUUGAAGAGUUUGAUCAUGGCUCAGAUUGAACGCUGGCGGCAGGCCUAACACAUGCAAGUCGAACGGUAACAGGAAGCAGCUUGCUGCUUUGCUGACGAGUGGCGGACGGGUGAGUAAUGUCUGGGAAACUGCCUGAUGGAGGGGGAUAACUACUGGAAACGGUAGCUAAUACCGCAUAACGUCGCAAGACCAAAGAGGGGGACCUUCGGGCCUCUUGCCAUCGGAUGUGCCCAGAUGGGAUUAGCUUGUUGGUGGGGUAACGGCUCACCAAGGCGACGAUCCCUAGCUGGUCUGAGAGGAUGACCAGCCACACUGGAACUGAGACACGGUCCAGACUCCUACGGGAGGCAGCAGUGGGGAAUAUUGCACAAUGGGCGCAAGCCUGAUGCAGCCAUGCCGCGUGUAUGAAGAAGGCCUUCGGGUUGUAAAGUACUUUCAGCGGGGAGGAAGGGAGUAAAGUUAAUACCUUUGCUCAUUGACGUUACCCGCAGAAGAAGCACCGGCUAACUCCGUGCCAGCAGCCGCGGUAAUACGGAGGGUGCAAGCGUUAAUCGGAAUUACUGGGCGUAAAGCGCACGCAGGCGGUUUGUUAAGUCAGAUGUGAAAUCCCCGGGCUCAACCUGGGAACUGCAUCUGAUACUGGCAAGCUUGAGUCUCGUAGAGGGGGGUAGAAUUCCAGGUGUAGCGGUGAAAUGCGUAGAGAUCUGGAGGAAUACCGGUGGCGAAGGCGGCCCCCUGGACGAAGACUGACGCUCAGGUGCGAAAGCGUGGGGAGCAAACAGGAUUAGAUACCCUGGUAGUCCACGCCGUAAACGAUGUCGACUUGGAGGUUGUGCCCUUGAGGCGUGGCUUCCGGAGCUAACGCGUUAAGUCGACCGCCUGGGGAGUACGGCCGCAAGGUUAAAACUCAAAUGAAUUGACGGGGGCCCGCACAAGCGGUGGAGCAUGUGGUUUAAUUCGAUGCAACGCGAAGAACCUUACCUGGUCUUGACAUCCACAGAACUUUCCAGAGAUGGAUUGGUGCCUUCGGGAACUGUGAGACAGGUGCUGCAUGGCUGUCGUCAGCUCGUGUUGUGAAAUGUUGGGUUAAGUCCCGCAACGAGCGCAACCCUUAUCCUUUGUUGCCAGCGGUCCGGCCGGGAACUCAAAGGAGACUGCCAGUGAUAAACUGGAGGAAGGUGGGGAUGACGUCAAGUCAUCAUGGCCCUUACGACCAGGGCUACACACGUGCUACAAUGGCGCAUACAAAGAGAAGCGACCUCGCGAGAGCAAGCGGACCUCAUAAAGUGCGUCGUAGUCCGGAUUGGAGUCUGCAACUCGACUCCAUGAAGUCGGAAUCGCUAGUAAUCGUGGAUCAGAAUGCCACGGUGAAUACGUUCCCGGGCCUUGUACACACCGCCCGUCACACCAUGGGAGUGGGUUGCAAAAGAAGUAGGUAGCUUAACCUUCGGGAGGGCGCUUACCACUUUGUGAUUCAUGACUGGGGUGAAGUCGUAACAAGGUAACCGUAGGGGAACCUGCGGUUGGAUCACCUCCUUACCUUAAAGAAGC